rnacentral:tRNA from 1 species
GAGGGUACAGCUCAGUGAUAGAGUGCAUGCUUAGCAUGCACAAGGUCCUGGGUUCAAUCCCCAGUACCUCCU